CCCACACUCCAGGAUGAUGGGAGACAGAGUCAUCUGACGUCAGGCUCAGGCCCAGGUCCAGCUGUAGCCAUUGUCCUUUAGUCUUAAAGGUCCUUUUGUUGUUUCUUUUUGUUUUGAGGCUCUGCCUUCUCUGGCUGUUCUGCACAACAGAUAACUGGGUAAGGGUCAGAUGGGAGGCAGGGCUUGGAUGUGGUCAGCUGAGGCCUGGAGCUGCCCUCUGCUAUGAAGGAGGGAACACAGGAGCCCCCAGCCAAGGCUCCAGGUCCAUUUUAUAAUGUGAUGUAUGAAAACGUUUCUGCUGGAGGUUGCCCCAUCGGAGAAAUGCAGGGUCCUCUGCUUAGGAAGAUGGACUGUGCGUUUCCUGAGAACUCCAUUCAGCCCAAGGUGUGACUUGGGGCUGGUUUCUCAAGCUCUUUGGCUUCCAUUUUCUCUUCUGCAAAACGGGGAUGAUGAUAACUGACCCCCUCCAAUAAUUAAUUAAGAAAUGUCCCCCCACCCUUCCCCAGCACAGGGUCUGUGCAUAAUAAAUGGUAGCCAUCAAUAUGGACACAUAUGAAGUGCCUACUAUGUGUUCGGUAACGGACUUUCAAGACCUAGCAAACAGUUUGUGUUGCAUGAAGCUUCUUUGCAGAUGUUUUUGGCAGCCAAGAGCUGACAACCUGAGGGACUUCAGGGGCACUGGAGGAUUAGGGGGUGGUGAUUUGGGGGAGUCUGCCUGCCUCUCAUUAUCUCCAUCAGCUCUCUAAAGCACUCCCCCAUGUGAUUCAAAGGCAGCAUUGAGAGAAGUCUCCUACCCCCUCUAACCAGAUUGCCCAAAGCCUCCCCUCCCCAGAUGGAAGUAAUAGAUCUGCCACUCAGACUGGAAGGUUCUGAACUUCUUGCCCUGGGAAGUUCUCUGCUGGCCUUACCUCCUUCAAUACUUCCUGGAGUUUCAUUCGACAACUAUUUUAGCCCUCCUACGUGCCAGAUACUGUGCAAAGCUAACUGGGUAUACAAUGUUGAACAAAAUGGGAGUUUGUCCAGGCCUUAAAAAUGAUGAUAGUUCCCAUAGAAAUGAGAUUCAGGGCUUAGGGCUUGGAUACCCCAAAAGUCAGCAGCUCAGAUUCUUGGUACUGGCAAAAAGUAGAGAAUCAAGGCACUAGGGAACUAACUGCCUGAAACUCAAAUGUGUGAUCCACUUGUUUUAAUAAAUAAACAUUUAUUUUAGAUUAACAGAAAAUUUGCAAAGAUAGUAAGUACAGUUGCCAUAUGACCCUUACCCAGUUUCUCCUAUUACAUUACUAUGGUGCCUAUUUCACAAUUAAGGAACCAAUGUUGGUAAACUCCAGAGUUUAUUCUGAUUUCAUUAAUUUUUAUCUAACGUCCUCUUUCAGUUUCAGGACGCCAUCCAGGACACCGCAUUACAAACAGUUGUCAUGUCUCCUUAGAAUCCUCUUGGCUGGGAUACUUUCUCAGAUAUUCUUGUUUUUGAUGGAGUACUGCUCAGAGAAGGGAAACCGAGGCACAGAGAGUUGAAGGCGACUGCUUAAGGUCCCACAGCUAGAAAGUGGUGGAGCUAGGACCGAAAUUCGGGCAGGCUGGUUUCGGAGUCCAUGGCCUCAGCUGCUCCAAUACAAGGAGGGAUCGGAGAAGACCAUUUUCUACCACUUCUGGGAGCUCUGAGAACUCAGGGUUCUGGGCCUCAGACGCCGACCUCCGCGGAGGAGGCGGGGAAGCCCGGGAUCCGGUUGGCCGUGAACCCUGCACCAGGCCCGCCGGUUGCCAUGGGGACGGCUGGGCGGAGGCGGCGGGCCCAGGCCGGCUGCCCCGGGGGGUAGUUCCGGGGAGCUCCCGCCGCCGACAGGCAGUGGCACCCGGCCCGCACCUGGGCCGUGUUUUCCGGGCAGAGGGAGCCCCUCAUUCUCCCCUCGCACACCGGGGCGCCCACAAGUCCCUUGCAGGAGGCGCCUGAGCUUCCUCCGACCUGAACUCAAUCCUCCACGAAGCCGCUGUUAUCUCCAGUUCAUCGGUGUGAAUUAUUUACUGCUUGUCUGGCGGCCUCCCCGGAGGCCGCCCCCGCCUGCCUCCGCCCUCCCUGACCCCGCUGCUUUUUCACAUCCUGAUUUUCUGCAGCCCCUCUUCCUCCCGGUCCAAGAAGUUCAAAUGUUAGGGCCCAGGGGUACUUGGGGGAGGGAGCUUCCCACCUCCUCCUGCCUUCACCUGGUUCAAGGAUCCCUGAGGACGGAGAGAGCACUGAGUUAGGAGUCCGGGACCUGCGGCCCUCCCUCCUGUCGCCUAGGAACCUCCCGUCCUCAUCUGUAACCCUGGGAUGGCGAUUCCUGCUCUGCGUGAGCCGGGGACUGCUGAUCAAACCCAGUGAGGUCAUGGGAGGGAAUAACCAUUGCAACCAUAAGCAUUAUGUGCC